CAAUUGAUUUUAAUUGAUCUGUUGAGAGAUUCCUGGUCAAUUCCAACGCCCCCCUGACAGUCUAUUGAACACAAUGAAAAAGAGCCAAGAGGGAUAAGGCUUUAAACAGCUGUUUCCAAAAUGGAGUGAUCCCACAGCCAAUCACACUCCGUCUGUUUCUUACCAAUAACAGCACUUCGCUUUGUUCACGCGGAGCUGCUUGCGUGAUAAAAUCGUGCGCUGAACAAUAACAAUGUACUGUUCUUGAACAUCUUGAAAUGUUUGUUUUAAGGGAGAUUUAUGAAAAGGAAGCAAGUUUCCAGACUGGAGUAUGUAGAUGCAGGAAGACAGGAAGUGUGCUAGUAGAUGAAAGUUUCUGUCAGAUGGUGUAUGUCUCCAUCUUCUGGUGAACUGCACACUACACAACACUUCUUCAGCCAGCCACAAACAGAAUCUUUUACAUUUAAAAAAUUAUACUCUUUAUUGACUGUUUUCACAAACAGAAAUAAUACAGUAUUUAAAUAAUAAGAUAUGGCUACAAUACUGACACAUUCUGACAUAAACAGAAGGCUUGAAAAUAAGGCACAAAUGUGCUCAGUAAGACAAAAAUGUAAUUACAUCCCUUAAUACUUGAAAAAAAAAAGUUAUCUAUACAAGAUGUAUACAACAUUAAA